rnacentral:rRNA from 1 species
CCCGCACAAGCGGUGAGCAUGUGGUUCAAUUCGAUGCAACGCGAAGAACUUACCUGGGCUUGAACCGCACCUGUAAACCUGUGGAAACACGGGUCCCUCCUUCGGGAGCAGGUGUAGAGGUGCUGCAUGGCUGUCGUCAGCUCGUGUCGUGAGAUGUUGGGUUAAGUCCCUUAACGAGCGAAACCCUUGCCGUUAGUUACCAGCGGGUCAUGCCGGGAACUCUAGCGGGACUGCCGGUGUUAAACCGGAGGAAGGUGGGGAUGACGUCAAGUCAUCAUGGCCUUUAUGCCUAGGGCAUCACACGUGCUACAAUGGCCGGGACAAAGCGACGCAAGACCGCGAGGUGGAGCUAAUCGCAAAAACCCGGCCCCAGUUCGGAUUGCAGGCUGGCAACUCGCCUGCAUGAAGUUGGAAUCGCUAGUAAUCGUGAAUCAGCUAUGUCACGGUGAAUGUGUUCCUGAGUCUU